rnacentral:rRNA from 1 species
AUGGUGGAUGCGUCUUUGUACAGCAGAAAAUUGUUAUCAAAUGUAGAGUAUGAGAAGCCAUCAGCACUUGGAUGGGAGGCACCGCCGGCCGGCUGGGCUGCGCUCAACAUCGACGGGUCCUUUUCUGCCAAGGACGGAACUGCAGGAGCUGGCAUGGUUCUCCGGGAUGAACAUGGAGAUAUUAUUUUUUCGUCUUGCCGUGAGCUAAGGCAGUGUGCAUCACCACUAGAAUCUGAACUUGCUGCAUGUUCAGAAGGCAUCUCCCUAGCUACCCAGUGGUUUGAGCUGCCUUUUGUGAUUCAAACGGACUGCGCAGAAGUGGUAAAACUAAUCGAAGGAGGUAUUGGCGACCGAUCGGAGCAUAUGAUGUUGAUCCGCGAGAUUAUUUUGCGUCUUCGGUAA